rnacentral:rRNA from 1 species
GGGAUUAGCCCGCGUAGGAUUAGCUAGUUGGUGAGGUAACGGCUCACCAAGGCGACGAUCCUUAGCUGGUCUGAGAGGACGAUCAGCCACACUGGGACUGAGACACGGCCCAGACUCCUACGGGAGGCAGCAGUGGGGAAUAUUGGACAAUGGGCGCAAGCCUGAUCCAGCCAUGCCGCGUGAGUGACGAAGGCCUUAGGGUUGUAAAGCUCUUUUGACGGGGACGAUAAUGACGGUACCCGCAGAAUAAGCCCCGGCUAACUUCGUGCCAGCAGCCGCGGUAAUACGAAGGGGGCUAGCGUUGUUCGGAAUCACUGGGCGUAAAGCGCACGUAGGCGGACUUUCAAGUCAGGGGUGAAAUCCCGGGGCUCAACCUCGGAACUGCCUUUGAUACUGUUGGUCUCGAAUCCGGUAGAGGUGGGUGGAAUUCCUAGUGUAGAGGUGAAAUUCGUAGAUAUUAGGAAGAACACC